GGAUGCGAUCAUACCAGCACUAAAGCACCGGAUCCCAUCAGAACUUCGAAGUUAAGCGUGCUU
rfam:Triticum aestivum genome assembly, contig: Triticum_aestivum_CS42_TGACv1_scaffold_400298_5AS